AAUCCAAUGCAACUCCAGACCUGUAAUGACUCGAAAAGAUCUAGGAAGACUCGAUAAUGAUUUGAAAACCAAUUAGAAAACAUAUUUACAAAUGCCAAAAACACCAUAUAUCAGAGUCCAAGCCAGCAAUAGUCUCAGGAUCAACAAGCACAUCAACAACUAGACAUAGAACUACCACCUAAACACUAACAGCUACAACAUAACCAUGGGACAGCCUCAAACAGGAGAUCCACAAGACCAAACGAGCCCAUCACACUUACAAUCGCCAGAACCCAACUGAACCGUUCACGGCUCCUGCACAGAAAUUGGCUCGAUCUACACUCAUGAAACUCCAACUGAGCAUAGAUGGACGGAGUCGGAAACAACCAC
rnacentral:lncRNA from 1 species